UCGGCAUGCAGUUCUGGAAAGGUGAAGCGGCUCCUUCUGUCUGUCUGGAUUUUGCACCCCGUGGUGGGACAAUUGGCUGGGUGCUUACUUCUCGGAAGGAAGAAAAGACACACAUGGGAACACCAUGUGAAGACACAGACACACACUGAGAACACCAUGUCACACGAUAGAGGCACAGAUUGGAGGGAUACGGCCAUAAGCCAAGGAACGCCGACGAUCAACGGCCACCACCAGAAGCUGGAAGAGGCAGGGAGGGAUUCUCCCCAGAAUCCUGGAGGCAGCCGGGCCUACUGACACCUUGAUUUGGAUGUCUGGCUUCCAGAACGUGGCCACAUCAUUUUACACCCCCAUCAGCAGUCUAUGAGUUCCCUGGGACUUUUUAACUUGGAUCAAGAAAGACUGGGUUCUGAGUCUCUGGGCACUACUCGUCUAGAAGAAUGGAAAUGAUACCCAAGUUCAUCGGGGAAAAUGUGAAAGAAGGAAAGAGUUGAAGUCAUCACUGAAACUCUGCUCUAUCCCAUCUUCUUCUUCUUUUGGUGAGGAAGGUUAGCCCUGAGCUAACAUCUGUGCCAGUCUUCCUCUAUUUUGUAUGUGGGUCACUGCCACAGCAUGGCUGAUGAGUGGUGUAGGUCUAUGCCUGGGAUCCCAACCCACAAACCAGGGCUGCUGAAGCAGAGUGCGCCCAACUUAAUCACUACACCACUGAGCCGGCCUCUGUCCCAUCUUCUUCCUUGCGGUUACACAAGUCAGAAAAUUCCCCCUUCUUGCCUAAGCUGUGAGUUGGGUUUCUGUCACCCCAAGUGUCCUGACUGAUACCAUCUUCUCAGCGCUGAAUUCAGAAUCUUGAUGGCUCAAAUUGUGUUUGAGAGUGCUCCAGGUAGAACCCUCCACAGGUGAGCCACCACGUCCCAACCUGAACCAUCUUUACUUCCUUCUGCUUCUCCCCAGGUCCUUAGCCAAGAGCCUCAGACAGACCCAAAGAAAAACUUGACUCCGGCUGGUCAUCUGAUGAGAGUCAGCUGAGGAGGCUGGUGGGAAGGGUAGGCGGGAGGCGGGUUGCAGGGGAGAAGAGGGCUUGGGUCCCCCUGAGGACACUGUGGAGCAGGGGAAACUGAAGGGAGGCUGGAGGCCAGACCGGGGGAGGAGAGGAAAAGGUGGAAAGAAAAACCCAGCAGAAUCGCCAAUGUUUAGAUGGCCUUUCACAGGGCGAUUGAGACGGCUCGUCUGUGGCCAAGCAUGAAGCAACGCUCCUUCAGGUUCUGAGAGGAAAAACCUCCAAUUUUGUAAAGAUUUUAUUUUUCCUUUUUCUCCCUAAAGCCCCGAGUACAUAGUUGUAUAUUCUUAGUUGUGGGUCCUUCUAGUUGUGGCAUGUGGGACGCCGCCUCAGCGUGGCCUGACAGGCAGUGCCAUGUCCGCGCCCAGGAUCCAAACCGAGGAAACCCUGGGCUGCCAAAGCAGAGGGUGUAAACUUAACCACUCAGCCACAGGGCCGGCCCCUCCAAUUUUGUUUCCUUCGUGGAGGAAAUGAAUGGAAACUGAUGGGGAGGGUGGUUUUGGAGAUAAGGUCCAGACCACUCUGACCUCUUAAUUCUCUAGGAUCUCAAAUCUGGCGUCUGGGCCCACAGGAGCAGAGCCAGGCCAGUUGUUCUAAGUAGGAUCUAGGGAGCACACAUAGGCAGUGGGAUGAGAGCCCUGGGGGUGGAGGUAAGGAGGGCCUAGUUGCGGACAAUGGGAGAAAGUUCUGGAUAGCAGGAGCAGUGCAGCCUUUGGAGGGUGAGGGCAGGCCACUGGUGUCAUCUUACGUAUACUCUUGGUAGGAAAAUGAUUUUGUAAUAAUUUUCUACAAAGAAAAUAGAAAAAUAAUCCACUUUUCCCUCUUGCGGUGGUAAUUCAAUAGUUCAUUGAACUUUUUUAAAAUUUCUGAUAGUUGGAAUGCACAAAACACGGGACUUCAUGCACGGAUGUUUGUAGUAUUGCUCCAAGUUUGCGGCCUGCACACACAGGUCUUCUGAUCAAUUCUCUUUCACGUAUCUACGAGUUUACCGGGGCUGCCAUAACCAAUACCACAACCUGGGCGGCCUAAACAGUAGAGAUGGAUCGCCUCCCAUUUCUAGAGGAUACAAGUCUGAAAUCGAGGUGUCGGCAGGGUUGGUUCCUUCUGGGGGCUGAGAGGGAGAAUCUGUUCCAGGCCCCUCCCCCAGCUUCUGGUGCUUUGCUGACAACCUUUAGUGUUCCCUGGCUUGUGAUUCAUCACCCCAAUCUCUGCCUUCAUCUUUACGUGGGGUUUCCCCCGUAUACGUGUCUCUGUGUCCAAACUUCCCCUUUUUAUAAGGACACUAGUCGUAUUGGAUUAGAUGACCUCAUUUUAACGUGGUUACUUCCGUAAAGACCCUGUUCCGCAAUAAGCUGUCAGUCUGAGCUACUCGGGGUUAGGGCUUCAACAUAUCUUUUUGGAAGGAUACGAUUCCACCCAUUAGCAACACGAUACCCAUCAAAAAGGAAAAAAAAAAGAAGGUUAUGGUGCAUUUAUAAUUGUAUCCAUUGUAUUAUAGAGACUAUUGCUGACAGGAAAUAACUUCCAUUUUGUCUAAGCAUCUCUGAGCACCAAGUCCUCUCCUUACAAUUGUACAGGUCUGAUAAUUGGGAGAAUUUUCCACAACUUAGCCUCUGACUCCCUAGAUUUCAAACUGUCUCUCCUUUCCAACACACACAUUCUUCUGUGGCCAGGUACUGGAGGACAUGUUCAUGUCACCAUGCAAGCUCUGAGUCUGCACUUUUGUGUCAUUAUGCCAGGUGAGUCAGCUCAGCAGACAGAGGGUCCUGUGAGACCUUUCUAUACCAAGACAGACGACCUACCUGUAUGUGGAGCCUAGACAGCCACCAAAUGCAAACUGAUGUAUCCCCAAUUCAAUUUCCCCUUAAUAAGACUCCAAAAAUGCCACAGCCAUUCCAAAGCCAUAUGACAGCAAGAAGGUCAGAGUGGAAAGAGUCAGCGAUCUCAACCGAUUGCAGUUAGAACGACUUGUGUAAGAAGCACAUGACCAUGUGAACACACUGCUAGGGCCUCUCCCAGGACUUAGCGAGGGCCCCGUGCCAGGGAGGGGUUCUGAAGCUUAAACCGGACUAGCUUCAUGGUCAAUCUGCCUCACAAUGGACACCUCUGCCAUCUUCAAAAACCCCGCAAAUGUUCAUUCGAGAAAAACUUCUCCAUCUUCACAUGCCGGACCCUGUGCUGGGGACAGAUGAGGCAGGAGCGAACAAAGCAAGCUGAGUGCAAAUCUGACUUCUAGGCAUCACAGCCUCCCCGAGGGGCCUGGCCCAGGAAGGCUGGGCUCUCCAGGGAUGAGUCAUCAGAUGAAGGAGAAAAACCAGCCUCAGCUUAGGCUGGAGAGUAUGGCCUUCCUCUUGGAGGAGCGUAGUGAAACCUCCUGGGAGACGAAGCCUCCUCCUUGGGUUAUUCUCCCAGGAUGAUCCUGAUGCUGGAGAGCCUUUAACAAUGGGAGUUUGAGCCCAGUGCACGGGAGUCAAAUCCCCCACAUCAGACCUUGGAGCCACGCUUCUCCCAGGAAACUUGCCCUGCCCGGAGUCCUGGACCUGGGGGACUAGAACCUCAGCCUCCACGUCCAACCUCCCGCCUUGGCUCACAAUCUUCCUGCUUUUGCCUGGGAUGAGCAGAAACUCACAAAUGCCUAAACCAGUCCUUCCUGCCAGGGACUAACCAGUCUCAGCUGCCAGCCUCAGCUCCGGCCCAGCCUCGUUCAGGACUGUGGUGCUGUAAAUCGUUUGAAGGACACAUACCUCUGGGUGUUCCCCUCUCUGAGCCUCACUCUCUUCAUAUGUCAAGUGGGAUGACAAUGGACUACCAACUAACUCCAGGAGGGCUGUGCAGCAUGUCUUGUCCGCCCCUGUAGUCUCAGCCCAGUUGAGUGGAUGGCACACAGUAGGUGCUCAAUAAGUGUUUGUUAAGUGAAUGGAUGGAAUAAAGAGAUCCCUGACUUCUGUGUGGAGGGGGAGUAUACUUGCAAUAGUUGGUACUUAAUCAGUUGCAGGUGACAGACACCAACGCAAACUGGCAUGAGAAGGAGAGACUGUAUCGGUUCACACCACUGAAGUGCAGGGUAGUUCCAGCUUCAGGAUUUAUGGCUCCACUGACAUUACCAUGAAUUGAUCUGUCUCCACCUCUGCACUUGGCUUUCCUCUCUGUUGGAGUUAGCCUCAGGUAGGUCCAGGCGUAUAGUCCAGCAGAAAGAGACAAGUUUGUUCUCAAAAAUUCAAACAAAAGUCUCAGAAUUUAGUCUCAUUAGACUGACUUGGGUCCCUUGAACGUCCUUGAAUCAAUCACUGUGUCCAGGGACAUUUGAUGCUCCGAUCAUCCAAGGCUGCCCCUGGAGGUGACCCACCAGUGGGCAGGAGAGGUUUUGUAAAGGAAAAUCUAGGUUCUGUCACCAGGAAAGGGCAGAUGGCCUCAAGGCAAACAACAGGUGCCCACUGCCGCAUUCGGCUAAAGUGUGAACAGCGGGGCAAACCUUCCCCUCUCUGAGUGUCAGUCUCUUCACGUGUCAUUAAUGACAGUGAUGACACUGACAAAAGCCCUGCCUUUCUUCACAUGCUAGAGUUUUUGUGAGGUCCAAAUGAUACUGUGAGUUAUAAUAGCUAACAUUUAUGGAGGCAUCACCAGGCAUCUGGCCCUGUGCUAAGUAAACCCUUUACACAUUUAUUUUUAUGUUUACAACAAUCCAUUUUCCUGAUGAGAAGUAGGUUGAGACCAGUUACGAGCCUUGUACACUGUCACACAGCUCGCAAGGGUGGAGCUGGGGUUUACAGCAGUGCCCUCAAGCAUGAAGCUAUAUAUAAACUGUAAAUAAUUUUACAGGCGUAAGGGAUUAUUAGUAAUGGCCUGUACUGUUAAUAAUAGUAAUUUUUUAAAACCCUGAAAGAG
ensembl:lncRNA